rnacentral:rRNA from 1 species
UGCUUUGCUCCCCACGCUUUCUAGCCUCACCGUCAGAAAUGUUCCAGAGCGSCGCCUUCSCCACCGGCCUUCGUCCCGAUCUMUACGCAUUUCAUCGCUACACCGGGAAUUMMKYGCUCCUCUCCCWUCCUCUAUCUGAGCAGUCCCCUCUGCACUUUCCAGGUUAGGYCAGGAGAUUUCAYUGAGGGCUUAYYUAACCGCCUACGCUCCCUGUAUUUCCAGUAAAUAAUAACAAAGCUUGCCACCUUCSUAUUAMCUCGGCUGCUGGCACGAAGUUAGCCGUGGCUGCUUCUGGAGGUACCGUCCGAAUGGUUUACCCCAU